CCCAAUGCCCGUUCUUAUCAUCUCCCCCACCUCCCUCCGAGUCCUUCAUCUCUUUCUAUAUUUUCCCUCUUCUUCUUUCCUCCCUCCCAUCUCUUUAUAUAUACCUCCAUAUAUUCCUUGCUUCUCUUUUUCCUCCUCCUCCUCCUCUUUCUCCUCUAUCCACCACCAUAGAAAAGAUGAUCAUCAUCUGAUCAUCUCCAAACCAAAGAGGAGGUCGAUCCAUCGCAUGGGAGGCUGAGGCAAAAGAGGAGAGAGAGAGAGAUAGAGAGAAAGGUGGAUCGAAGGCAUGGGAAGAGGCCCCUCCCUCCCGACGAGCAGGAGGAGAAGGAAGGAGAGCGCGUGUUCUCGCAAUAUACCACGGAGCGCGCCGAUCAGGACGCGUCGGCCAUGGUAUCGGCCCUUGCUCAUGUGAUCAGCUCGAGCUCACCGGGGGUGGGAGUGGGAGUGGGAGUGGGAGGGGGCGAGACUAGGGAGAUCCAGCCGGAGUUGAGCCCGGCCAUGGCCGGGACGGGCUCGGGAAGCAUGGAGAUCAGGGAGCUCAGCCAACCUUCACAAGAGCAAGGGAAUGUGAGGAGAAGGCACUACAGGGGAGUGAGGCAAAGACCAUGGGGGAAAUGGGCAGCAGAAAUAAGGGACCCCAAGAAGGCAGCAAGAGUAUGGUUAGGGACCUUUGACACGGCCGAACAAGCCGCCAUAGCCUACGAUGAGGCGGCCCUGAGGUUCAAAGGCACCAAGGCCAAGCUCAAUUUCCCUGAGAGAGUCCAAGGCCGGACUGACCUUGGCUUCUUACUUAGUAGGGGAAUCCCAGAGCGACAACCAGAGCCCAUCACCCCAUCGGCGGCAGCUACAUACCCGGACCUACUUCAGUAUGCCCAGCUCCUCCAAAGUAGAGACGAAGACUUCCACAAUGUGGCAUCAGGGCUCUACAUCGGAGGCUCCUUCGCGUCGGGAUCUUCUCAAAUGUCACCGGCAUCUAUGUCGGGUUCUUCGCAAGAGUUUUUGGAUUUCUCUUCGCAGUUUGGUACCUCUUCUUCCUCUACCUCAUGGCCUCAUGGAGACCAGAAGGAUAAAGACAGCAGCCAGCAUCCGUGAGACUGGUGUUGGAUGUGUUUGAGUUGGUGCAAAAGUGUGUGAAAGAGAAAGAGAUAGAGAAUGAUAUCGAUGGGACUAUGGAUAUUGUCAAGGAAAACCUUUCAUAAACUACGGAAAUCUCGAGUCCUCGUUUGUGAACAAGACAACUGCAACAGUUUAAUUGAGAAUAGAGAGGACAAGAGGAGAAGAGGUUUCGGUGGUCGAUGAUUUGGUUCCUUCUUGAGCCACUGGUCAAGGCUCUUUAAAUGUUUGACCCUUUAAGAGAUUCUUCUAUAUAUGCUUGAUCGAUAUUUUGUCAGCUGUUGUUUGCUCAAUACUAGAACUAUAAAAGGAACUAUAGAACUUUUAUUUCGGGUGGGGACAAAUUGGAAUGGAGAUCGAGAGGAGAGUUUCUACACGAUUUCUUGCUGACCUCCAAAAUGGUUUUUCCUUCUCUUAUGCAGCAUCCAAGUCAUUUACACCACCUUCACAAAACUUGCAUAGAUACUCAGAGAGGGAGUAAGUAAUAAUGUCAAGGCUAACCAACUACAGAAAAAGUAUUAAGCUAGCGCAUUGAAGCUUACCUUUAUUGCUUGCAAUACUUGAAAGACGAAUUGCAAUAAGAAAUAUAGCAAAGAAUAUUGCCUUCAUGACUUUUGGAAGGUAUGCUUGCUUAAUAUACUCUUGGCACAUAUAGUAAGAGGGUGAUGGUCAAAUGGUUAAUAAAACUAUUAGAAGACGAUCGCAUAUCUUCAGGUGCUGGAGCAAAGAUAUAGAAAAUGACCGUAGGCCUAAUACUCAAAGGAGAAGAUGGAGAAGAGGUUAAGACAAGAAGAAAAAGAAUCCAUCAUCUGGUCUUCGUUCAACUACCCAUUGGUUUUCUAAGUCAUGGAAGUCGGCAGCCGAUUUUGGGUUUUCUGGUAGCUACGAUCUCAGGAGAGUCGGCAGCUUUAGCUUUAGCCUUAGCCUUAGCCUUAGCUUUUCGGCCGGCCUCAGGGCCUUCGAGGAGGCGGCCCACUUAUCAUGACACGUGGCACUGGGAGCCUCCCCCCUCUCUACGUUUGCUUUGUUCCUCACGUCUCUUAAUCUUCGCCAAAACACCUAACGUUGAUCGUUGGCCACGUGCAUGUCGGCAUCCACCCACCGGGAAGUGGCGUCCAGUGUACCUCCACGUGGAGGAGCAUCGCAUGAUGCGCGUGCCUCGACAGCCAGCGGUGGGACCCACACGUUCGUGUUUUGAAGCACGUGUGCUCUAAUGUCUGUCAUGCACGUAUGCUACGUGGCCCGUAUUGCCAUGCAAUACGCCAGCCUAGUUUGGCGCGAAUGUGAUCGUCUCUGUGAAUAUUUUGUGGUUAAAUUUUUUUUUUAAAUUAUUUAAUCAUGCUGACAGGCCUGGCUAAGUGGCUACAAACGUAUCGCACAUCUCUUUAGAGAAUGGUGUGGGCAUGUGAGGGUGCACCCGUGUCCAAAGAAGGGAGUUUGUAAGUUAAAAGAACUUAUUCUUGAGUUGUUCUUCAAGCACAUAUCAACAUCAUUCUCCAAAAGAAGAAAUGUACUGGCAGAGUAUAGAGCAUAUAAAACGAGUAACAAGUUAGGAAGUUAGGUCAAUUCUAGCUUGUUUCACAUGAAUUAGGUGAAGUCCUGGCUUGCUUUAUGAUUGAUGAUGCUACCUACCGUGUAGAUAUGUAUGGCACCAAAUGUGAAUUGAGAUGUCUCUGACAAGAGACAUGUGUCCUGUAAAUUAUAAUUGAGAAUCAUGAAUCAGUUCUAGCAUCAAUCUUUGGUAGAUGAUGACGAUCUUUUUAACAGCUUAA